rnacentral:lncRNA from 1 species
CCCAGCCAGAACUGCAGCAACUGACCACAAGAGAGCCAGGGACGGACGAGGGAGUUGUUGCUGGCAUGCAAAAAUAUGGAGAACAGAGAGAGCUGAGGUUAAAACAGAGACUGUUCUUCAGAAAUAUCUAAGUCUUAUCAGAAAGAGCAUCCCAGCAUCUGAGAUCACCAGCAGUUCUCUUUCUUUCUGAUAGAUAAGAACACAAUCAUAGACAAAGAAAUGCUAACAACUUAUUUUGAGAGUCAUUCUGGAGAAACAUUUCUUCUUACUGUAUCAGCAUUGUUAUAAUCUUCAGUGUAUUGUUCAAAUGGUAAUGUCUGUC